UGCAAGUCGAACGAACUUAACCAUUAGUUUACUAUUGGAGCGGUUAGUGGCGGACUGGUGGGUAACACGUAAGCAACCUGCCUAUCAGAGGGGAACAACAGUUAGAAAUGACUGCUAAUACCGCAUAUGCCUUGAGUAUCACAUGGUACAAAAGGGAAAGGAGCAAUCCGCUGAUAGAUGGGCUUGCGUCUGAUUAGAUAGUUGGUGAGGUAACGGCCCACCAAGUCGACGAUCAGUAGCCGGACUGAGAGGUUGAACGGCCACAUUGGGACUGAGAUACGGCCCAGACUCCUACGGGAGGCAGCAGUCGGGAAUAUUGCGCAAUGGAGGAAACUCUGACGCAGUGACGCCGCGUGCAGGAAGAAGGUUUUCGGAUUGUAAACUGCUUUAGACAGGGAAGAAACAAGACAGUACCUGUAGAAUAAGCUCCGGCUAACUACGUGCCAGCAGCCGCGGUAAUACGUAGGGAGCAAGCGUUAUCCGGAUUUAUUGGGUGUAAAGGGUGCGUGGACGGGAAAUUAAGUUAGUUGUGAAAUCCCUCGGCUUAACUGAGGAACUGCAACUAAAACUGAUUUUCUUGAGUGCUGGAGAGGAAAGUGGAAUUCCUAGUGUAGCGGUGAAAUGCGUAGAUAUUAGGAGGAACACCAGUGGCGAAGGCGACUUUCUGGACAGUAACUGACGUUGAGGCACGAAAGUGUGGGGAGCAAACAGGAUUAGAUACCCUGGUAGUCCACACCGUAAACGAUGGAUACUA
rnacentral:rRNA from 1 species